GAUGAACGCUAGCGGCAGGCUUAAUACAUGCAAGUCGAGGGGCAGCACAGGGUAGCAAUACCUGGGUGGCGACCGGCAAACGGGUGCGGAACACGUACAGAACCUUCCUUCGAGCGGGGAAUAGCCCAGAGAAAUUUGGAUUAAUACCCCAUAGUAUAAUGGUGUGGCAUCACAUUAUUAUUAAAGAUUUAUCACUUGAAGAUGGCUGUGCGUAUGAUUAGGUAGUUGGCGGGGUAACGGCCCACCAAGCCUACGAUCAUUAACUGGUGUGAGAUAACGACCGGACACACGGGCACUGAGACACGGGCCCGACUCAUACGGGAGGCAGCAAUAAGGAAUAUUGGUCAAUGGACGCAAGUCUGACCCAGCCAUGCCGCGUGGAGGAUGAAGGUCCUCUGGAGUGUAAACUUCUUUUAUCUGGCACGAAAAAAGGCUUUUCUAAGUCGACUGACGGUACCAGAUGAAUAAGCACCGGCUAACUCCGUUCCAGCCGCAGCGGUAAGAC
rnacentral:rRNA from 1 species